CGUGGCAGGGGUUGGAACUGGAGGAGCUUUAAGGUCCUUUCAAUCCAAACCAGUCUGUGGUUCUAUGAUAAUAAAACACACUGCAGAAGGAGAGAAGUGUCACUUUUUUAUGGUAUAAACACAAAGACUCGUUCUUUGUGCUUACAUUUUGACCCUGGGGCUUUAUUUUGUUGGUACUGCUGCUGGAAGAUGCUGUCCCCUCCUGCCCUCUCCUUUGUGCUAGUGCUGCUGUUUGCAUGGUCAGGCAGCCAGACAGAUCAGGGAACUGAUUCAGUGCAAAGACAACUUAGAAGAAAAGAAGACAAAAUGUCUUCUAAAGCAGUAAUGUGCAGCGUUGCGGUGUAAGAUGGCUGUGUGAGCAUGGUCUGCUUCAGAGUGUCCAUUGACAAUCUGCCCUAAGGAUAACUUCCAUUUUGGUGUCAAAUGGCAAAGGAGCUGUAGGCGCUCACAGGGCACUCGCUGCUGCCUCUGUUGCAUGUAAGUGGUCCUAAAACUGAGCUCAGAGAGUCUGGAUUUGGGGAGCUAAAGCAUGGAGCUAAAGCAUAUAUGGUUUGUUACAGUUGUCAACUCAUAUAACCAAACCCUUGGCUGGUGAUACAGGUUUAGUU